GACGAACGCUGGCGGCGUGCCUAACACAUGCAAGUCGAACGGGGUAAAGAGCUUCGGUUUUUUUACUUAGUGGCGAACGGGUGAGUAACGCGUGAGAAACCUGCCUCUCCGUGGGGGACAACAGUUGGAAACGACUGCUAAUACCGCAUAACAUAUUCGAAGGGCAUCCUUUGAUAUCAAAGCUUUAUGUGCUGAGAGAUGGUCUCGCGUCUGAUUAGAUAGUUGGUGAGGUAACGGCUCACCAAGUCGACGAUCAGUAGCCGGUCUGAGAGGAUGAACGGCCACAUUGGGACUGAGAUACGGCCCAG
rnacentral:rRNA from 1 species